rnacentral:rRNA from 1 species
UACAGAGGUCUCAAGCGUUGUUCGGAUUCAUUGGGAGUAAAGGGUGCGUAGGCGGCGCGGUAAGUCGGGUGUGAAAUCUCGGGGCUUAGCUCCGAAACUGCAUUCGAUACUGCCGUGCUUGAGGACUGGAGAGGAGACUGGAAUUUACGGUGUAGCGGUGAAAUGCGUAGAUAUCGGGAGGAACACCUGUGGCGAAGGCGGGUCUCUGGACAGUUCCUGACACUGAGGCACGAAGGCCAGGGGAGCAAACGGG